rnacentral:rRNA from 1 species
ACGGGAGGCAGCAGCUAAGAAUAUUCCGCAAUGGACGAAAGUCUGACGGAGCGACGCCGCGUGGAUGAUGAAGGCCGGAAGGUUGUAAAAUCCUUUUAAGUAUGAAGAAUAAGCAGGGCAGGAAAUGGUUCUGUGGUGACGGUAAUACUUGAAUAAGCAACGGCUAAUUACGUGCCAGCAGCCGCGGUAACACGUAAGUUGCGAGCGUUGUUCGAAAUUAUUGGGCGUAAAGGACAUGUAGGCGGUUUUGCAAGCUUGGUGUGAAAGGCAGGAGCUUAACUCCUGGACUGCGUUGAGAACUGCAAGACUAGAGUCACUGAGGGGCAAUCAGAAUUCCAGGUGUAGGGGUGAAAUCUGUAGAUAUCUGGAAGAAUACCAAUGGCGAAGGCAGGUUACCAGCAGAUGACUGACGCUGAGGUGUGAAGGUGCGGGGAGCAAACAGGAUUAGAUACCCUGGUA